UUAAACACUGGGACUUUGGUAGUUAAUUUGUACCUUAAGUAGGAGAUGAGUCUAAACCUAGUGUUAAAGCAUGAUGUCAUCCUAACACCUUCCUUCGCUAAGUGCUUCCUGCAGUUACCUGGGCUGCUGAUCGCCAGCACAUCCUGUUGAUUUUAUCUUUAGGAAUAUGUUCUGGCCCUGUCUGCUUUUUGUCUCCGCCCUUCCCUUCUUAACAGGAGCUAGCUGCCUGCUUGCUCAGUUUGUUUUGUUUGGAUUUCUACAGGACUUUCCAGAUUUAUCUCCCAGAUGCCUAUCUUCAUGGCAGCUGAGUGAUUAUUUUAAAAUGUAAAUGAGAUCAUGUAUGUUUGCAAGACCCAACAAAGGUGCCUCUUCACGUGUGAGCCAGUGGUGCUGUUUAUUGCUGAGAGUUACAGCCUGCAUGGCGCUUCCGUCAUGGAGUCAGGUCUCUCUUCCUGGAUUGGAACUCAUCAAGCAGGCUAGAUGGGCUGGCCAGCAAGCCACAGGGGUCCACAUGCCUUCACCUGUUCUGUGCUGGGAUUAACAAGAGCAAGCUACCAUGCCCAGAGAGUCGAGGGUAAGGCGAGGGCCUGUCAUCAUCCCGGGAGGCAGUGCUGGGCAGCUGACCUGGUGCUUAUGAAGGAGGAUCAUCCCCCCCCCCCCCCCGUGGACGUGAGACGUGAGACUUCCUUUUACAGUAGCGAGAGGUGCGAGAGGUACUUCUCCCUUCGUCAGCCUGAGAAAAGACCCCCCUGGUCCUUCUUCGGUUCUACCAAUUACUCUCUAUGCAUCGAAUUUUUAGCUAAGUGCUGAACGUCAUCCUAGGGUGUGAAGUCACUGAGGUUUUUUUUUUUUAAUAAACAAAACAACAUAUUAAUUUUUAAAGGCUUUGGGAUUUUGAAGGGGGAAUUUGUCAGGUUGGACCAAACUGAGGUAUCUGGUAGUACUUGUUUU